ACCUUGAGGAUAGCUCAGCACAAGGAUGGAGAAUCGGUAGAGCAUGAGACUGUUAAUCUCAGGAUUGUGGGUUGGAGUCCCAUGUCAGGUG